CAAUAGCGUAUAUUAAAGUUGUUGCGGUUAAAAAGCUCGUAGUUGGAUUUCUGCUGAGAACGACCGGUCCGCCCUUUGGGUGUGUAUCUGGCUCUUUCUUGGCAUCUUCUUGGUGAACGUUGCUGCACUUGACUGUGUGGAGCGCUACCCAGGACUUUUACUUUGAGGAAAUUAGAGUGUUUCAAGCAGGCAUACGCCUUGAAUACAUUAGCAUGGAAUAAUAAGAUAGGACCUCGGUUCUAUUUUGUUGGUUUCUAGAGCUGAGGUAAUGAUUAAUAGGGAUAGUUGGGGGCAUUCGUAUUUAACUGUCAGAGGUGAAAUUCUUGGAUUUGUUAAAGACGGACUACUGAGAAAGCAUUUGCCAAGGAUGUUUUCAUUGA
rnacentral:rRNA from 1 species